UACAGAGGGUGCAAGCGUUGUUCGGAAUUAUUGGGCGUAAAGAGCUCGUAGGCGGUUUGUCACGUCUGCUGUGAAAUCCCGAGGCUCAACCUCGGGCCUGCAGUGGGUACGGGCAGACUGGAGUGCGGUAGGGGAGAAUGGAAUUCCUGGUGUAGCGGUGGAAUGCGCAGAUAUCAGGAGGAACACCGAUGGCGAAGGCAGUUCUCUGGGCCGUAACUGACGCUGAGGAGCGAAAGCAUGGGGAGCGAACAGG
rnacentral:rRNA from 1 species